AUUGAACGCUGGCGGCAUGCUUUACACAUGCAAGUCGAACGGUAACAGGCCGCAAGGUGCUGACGAGUGGCGAACGGGUGCGUAAUGCAUCGGAACGUGCCCAGUCGUGGGGGAUAACUACUCGAAAGAGUAGCUAAUACCGCAUACGAUCUAUGGAUGAAAGCGGGGGACCGUAAGGCCUCGCGCGAUUGGAGCGGCCGAUGUCAGAUUAGGUAGUUGGUGGGGUAAAGGCUCACCAAGCCAACGAUCUGUAGCUGGUCUGAGAGUACGACCAGCCACACUGGGACUGAGACACGGCCCAGACUCCUACGGGAGGCAGCAGUGGGGAAUUUUGGACAAUGGGCGCAAGCCUGAUCCAGCAAUGCCGCGUGCAGGAAGAAGGCCUUCGGGUUGUAAACUGCUUUUGUACGGAACGAAACGGCUCUGGUUAAUACCCGGGGCUAAUGACGGUACCGGAAGAAUAAGCACCGGCUAACUACGUG
rnacentral:rRNA from 1 species